rnacentral:lncRNA from 1 species
UUCCUGUCCAAUAAUCUAUGGAAAUUUACCCAUUUUCAUUGAUUUUUUCGUGAAAAAUCAAUAUGAGUACAACUUGUGACGUCAUAAUGAAACGCAGAAACGUGAAAUUUUCAAUAGAAUGGCUUAUAUCCUAUCUAGUUCAUGUAUUAGCUAUAAUUUAUCGUGAUAUUGGUAAAUAAAUCUGAAUUUGAAAUUUACGCUAAAAAAGGGGGCCAUUUUAGGACCUUAUCGAAC